AGUUCCUAACAUUUGAAGAUUGGAAUAAUAGAGAAAAAGAAAGAAGAAAUAAAAAUGCUAAGUAAGUAGACUUGCAAAAGGUAAAGAGGUGCGGUAAAGAAAGGAAAGAUGGGAAUAGAUUAACCUCAGGGACGACGAAGUUGACUGCCAUUUCUUCCUGGUGAAGAAGAAGAUCGAAGACUUGAGAAACCGUCGGGGG
rnacentral:lncRNA from 1 species